rnacentral:rRNA from 1 species
GCAAGUCGAGGGGUAACAGGGAAGCUUGCUUCUGCUGACGACCGGCGCACGGGUGCGUAACGCGUAUGAAACCUACCUUGUACUGGGGGAUAGCCCGAAGAAAUUCGGAUUAAUACCCCAUAAUAAUACAACAUCGCAUGAUGAAGUAUUUAAAACUCCGGUGGUACAAGAUGGUCAUGCGUGACAUUAGCUAGUUGGUGAGGUAACUGCUCACCAAGGCAACGAUGUCUAGGGGUUCUGAGAGGAAGGUC